AUUGAACGCUGGCGGCAUGCCUUACACAUGCAAGUCGAACGGCAGCGGGGGCUUCGGUCCGCCGGCGAGUGGCGAACGGGUGAGUAAUGUAUCGGAACGUACCAUUCAGUGGGGGAUAACUAUCCGAAAGGAUAGCUAAUACCGCAUAUUCUGUGAGCAGGAAAGCAGGGGAUCGCAAGACCUUGCGCUGAUUGAGCGGCCGAUAUCAGAGUAGCUAGUUGGUGAGGUAACGGCGCACCAAGGCUACGAUCUGUAGCGGGUCUGAGAGGAUGAUCCGCCAUACUGGGACUGAGACACGGCCCAGACUCCUACGGGAGGCAGCAGUGGGGAAUUUUGGACAAUGGGCGCAAGCCUGAUCCAGCCAUGCCGCGUGAGUGAAGAAGGCCUUCGGGUUGUAAAGCUCUUUCGGCCGGGAAGAAAUCGCAUCAGCUAAUACCUGGUGUGGAUGACGGUACCGGAAUAAGAAGCACCGGCUAACUACGUGCCAGCAGCCGCAGUAACAC
rnacentral:rRNA from 1 species